rnacentral:rRNA from 1 species
UACGUAGGGGGCUAGCGUUGUCCGGAUUAUUGGGCGUAAAGAGCGCGUAGGCGGCUAGGUGAGUCCGACGUGAAAUCUGGAGGCUCAACCUCCAGCGGUCGUUGGAAACUACUUGGCUAGAGUCCGGAAGAGGAGAGUGGAAUUCCUGGUGUAGCGGUGAAAUGCGCAGAUAUCGAGGAAGAACACCGAUGGCGAAAGCAGCUCUCUGGGACGGUACUGACGCUGAGGCGCGAAAGCGUGGGGAGCGAACAGG